CCCAGCUUGGUCGACUUGAAGGACUCCAGGCGCUUCCGCAUGGUCCUGUGGAAGAUUUCCCGGUCCUGUUUCUCGUCCUCGGAGCUGACCACGGUGGUCCCAGGAGGGGACGAGGAAGCCGCCCCACAGGGGUCCCUGCGGGCUCCUCCAGCCCCCAGCCCGCGGUGCCCACCUCCUGCCGCGGCUUGUACAGGUACUGCUGCAGGGUGUGGUGCGUGACCAUGUCCUCUGCGUCCCGGAUGCUCCGCCGCCGCUGCUCCAGAGACUGCAUGUCCAGGCAGACGGCGCUGACAUUUUCUCUCCUGCGCGGGGACCAGCGCUGAGCCACACAGGCUCCCUCAGGGCGGGGUCUCCUGCGCGCCCCUCGCCUUCCCAAGGCAGGCGUCUAGCUCUGGCUGUCUCCUGCACACCCCUCGCCUUCCCACGGUGGGCAUCUGGCCCUGGCUGCCUCCUGCCCGCCCCUCACCUUCCCACGGUGGGCACCCGGCUGGGGCACGGGGACAUCUGCCGCCUGGCCAGCCCCUUCUCCCCUCAGGGCUUAGGCUGACCGCCCACGAGGCCUUCUCGGCCUCCUGUCUGACGUGGAUCCCUUUCCUUACUGGUCCCCCUCCAAAGCCCUGGCUGUGAGACUCAGGGACCCCAGCAUCUGCACACCUGGCAGAGUGGACCUCCCGUGAGAACUGGCUCUGAGCUGUGGAGCCCAGGGCCGGAGGGCGGUAGGGGUGGCAUGGGGACCAGGACAGGCUGCUCCUGGCCAGGGGCAAACAUGUCAGGCCCGGCCCCCAAUCCGCUGCUGCCCCUCCCUUUCGCCUUCCAUCCAGCACUAAGGGAGUCUGGCCACUGCCUAACACAGGAGCGCUUGUGGGAGGAGACACCCACCCCCUCUUUCUGCACCUCUCCCCUCUUCCAUGCCACCCCCAGGCCAGGAGCCACCCCAGCCCCGUCUGUGACUCUCAGCUCCCGAGGCUGGGCUCUUCCCCAGGGAAGCUGCAUGACUGUGGCCACGUACAGGAGGUAGGAGACAGAGGCCUCCACGGUGGACGAUCGUGGCGUGAAGUCCACGUUGACCACGUUGUCGGUGCUGGGGGAGCGGAUGAAGGCCAGGGACCCGCGGCGCUCUCCCUGUGGUCAGGAAGCAGCCCGGUCAGUGGCCUGAGCAGCCAAGCCCUAGCUGCUGCCAUUGUGUGCCCUGGGGGGAAGCACCCAGAGCUCAGGGCCCAGGGAAGGCCUUGAGACCUGAGCCCCGGGUUCACGCCUCACAGCUGCAGAGGGAGGGAUGGAGAUGCCAGAACCAGGAGAUCAGAUUUUGCGCCCCUGUCUGCCUGUCUGAGGCUACAGCCAGUUUGCUGCCUGAACUGGGCAGAGGUAAUGCUUGUAGGAGGACACAGUGGUCUGAGUGUGAAGGGGUAAAGCUGCCUGGGACUUGGGAUGUGUCUGGGGAAACUGUUGAUACUGUGGAAUCAUUGAAGUGGUCUGUGUCCCUGCCGGAGGCCCUAAAACCCCAUUGGCCUCAUGUCCAGAACUGAAUCAGGUAGAGAACGGAGCAGAGCUCGACGAGGCACAGAAGCCGCACAGCUGAGUGCCAGAGGACGGAAGUGGGGCCGCCUAUGUGUCCUCAGACCCCACCUGCCUGAUGGCAGGGCCUGGAGAGCGUGAGGUUGUGCAGGAGCACGGGGCAGUGGGCUUAUGGCUGGAGUCAGGGUCCCCAGGGCCAGCGGGGGCACGGGUGUGGAGGGAGCAUCAGCUCACUGCGCUCAGACCUCCCAGGUGGGCACCCGCGCCGCCCUGCGGUGUGCAGGAUGCUCCCAGGAAAGUCCCCGGGGUCGGGCGGGUGCCACUGUUCCCACUGAAGAUGCGGCCCCCAGUUCACUGCCCACUCCGGGGGGCUUUGAUGGUCAUUGGUUCUGAGGGCCCUCUGCCUACUCUUUUGCUUCUAAAUCCAGCAUCUUCUGUACGACCUUUGUCCCUCUCCUGCCACCCGGUGAAGACAGACGUGAGGGUUGGGGAGCCACGGUGCUAACCGCCACUCUGGGCAGCACAGGCGAGGGCUGUGGGGCACCCGGGCGCGUGGCGGCUUUGGAGGGGCUGCUCCCCACACCACUUCCCCUGCCCCUGCCGAGCCCCACACUGUGGGGUGGGGGGUGUAGGGAGAGAGCAGCUGCCCUGUGUGAGAGCCAGGAGGGACACUGGGCAGGCGGAUGCUACCCCAGGUGUGGAGACCCCGCUACUGAGUGACCGGGAGGAGCCCACAGGCUCCCCACAUGCAGCUGAGCCCAGGGUCAUGGUCAUGGGUCGUGGGUCCAGGACAGUGGCUGGUGUGGUUGGGGGAGAGGCUCAAGGCCCGCCUGCUGCCUGCUGGCCUUGUCACCCAUGUGGGGGUGAGGGGAGCCCGCCAGAGCCUAGAGCCCCCACUGCCCCUUCCCACCCUCCAGCCAGGCUCCAGGCCGCCUAGGGCCAGAGUAUCUGAGCUUUCUCUCGCUUGCCAGGCCUGUGGUUUGGGGGUUUGUGUGGAGCCUGGUCCCGGAGCCCUCUUUCCUGAUCUGCACUGGCUGGCCCUCCUGACAGCCCCAGGCCCCCGUGCCCUCUGCCAGGAGGCACCUUGCCACUGGGCGUGGCCCCAGUCACAGGUGGCACGUCUGGGGUGAAUGCACGUCAGUGGAGGCAGUCAUUCUGUCUGAAUGAAUGGAGUUUGCUGGCUCUCUGUGUGAGGGUCUGCAGGGUUUGGCAGGACAGGCCUUUCCCUCCUGUGAGAGCACCGACCCUGACCGGCUGCUGGACGAGGGCACCAAAGCUCGCUAGGGAUGGCUCUGUCCUUAGGGAGGAGCUGCAGAAUCCCUGCAGCUGUGCCCCCAGGCCCUGUCUUGCACAGUUCCUGCAGCCAGAGCGCCCCUGGGGAGGUCAGGGCAGGCCGGGGAGGCUGAGGCCCACCUGCCAUAGUGGGCAGGUGCAGGAGCCAGGGGCGGCAGUGGCCUCGGGGCUGGGUGGGGCGCCUGGCCUCUGGUCUCUGGAGCAGUCAGGGGCUCUGCGGACGCUGAGAAGCAGCUCACAGUGGACUGGGAGAUGCUGGAGCAGCCUCAGAGCCAUGGCCGGCCCACAGCGGGAGAUGGCCCUGCUGCUGCCUCUCCACCCGUGCAUGUGGGCCUGUGGGCACCUACGUGUGCUGGGGCAGGCCGGGCUGUAUUGGGACCGGGUCCCGUAACAGCCUGCCUGCUUACCAUCCACUCCCAUCUCCGGGGAAAGCAAGGGAGCUUGGGGUCCUAGGACCUGACCUCAACGCUAACCCCCACCAGCACCACAGUCACCAGGGAGCUCGGGGUCCUAGGACCUGACCUCAGCGCUCACCCCCACCACCACCACAGUCACCAGGGCUCUGUGACUCAGUUUACCCCACAUGAGAGCCCCUGGGAUUCCCAGGGCAUCAGAAGGCCCAUCAGCCUCCUGUGAACUGCUGGGGUGGGCCUGGCCUUGGGACGUGGGUGCAGGGGCCUCUCCUCACUGCCCCUAUGGCACCCACAGCCAGUGCCCGAACCUGCUGCAGCCCCGACCCCGCAGAGCAAGCGGCUCUGCUACCUCAGCCACGUAGCUGAUGGCAUCCUUCAGGUUCAGCUCGUGGAAGACAUUCAGGAUCCGGUCUCGAGACUUCUGGGCCGACCGUCUCAUGAGGACCCUGCUGAGGAACUUCCGGUCGAAGUGGGACCACCUGUAGGGACAGACCUCGGGUGUGAGCCUCAGGUGACAGGUGCCCUGCAGCCCGCCGGACGCGUGGCCUGGCCCCUUCUCUCCUGAAUUUUAUUUGCUAUAGUGACCCUGUAGGCGCAUUUAAAAUGAGGAAAGCAGCCCCUGCCACACGCCCAGGCCGUCCGCCGUUCUCCUGCCUGUCCUGUUGGAUGGAGGCCGCCUCCUCCAGAGGGUGGCUCAGGACAGGGUGGGCGUCAGGCUUGGUCGGGCAAGGGGGCUCCGGCCAUGUGGGGGGGACUUUCAGCUGCACAGGAGGAAAGGCAGGGGCGGACAGAUGCCCUGAGCCCUUAAGACCUGUGAGAGCCAAGCUGACCAGAAUGAGGUUUUUUUAGCCUAAUAGAAUUAGAGUAUUCACCGGUUAUCCGGAUCAGAAGGGAUGGUGGCCUGGCCGGAUUUAGAGGAAACUCUGGGGCACAAGGAGGUGAUGCCUGUCACUCUUGGACAUGGGUGCAGCCACCAGAGCUGCCCCCCGGGGCAGAGGGUAGGCCUGGGUGAGCUUGUGUGCUCACACCUGGGCAGGCCCCGCGGCAGCAAUGGCGGCUCUCCUGUACAGGCUGAGUUUCAGCCACACCAGGAAGUCAAAGCUAACUGAGGCCGUGGCUUCAGAGACCCCCGGGAUGGCCCCUGGGAGGCCAAGGAGUCGGGGACUGGGUACCUGGAGCAGAGUCACUGUGGCCACGGAGAACCGCAGCUGAGCUUUAUGAAGCCACGUGGCCACACCUCCCGGUGCCCCCACCCCCACCGAACACAGAUCCCUCAGAAAAUGGGAACCAGGGCAAAGUGUAUGUGCUACUUACUGGGUUUAUUAUAAGUGUCACAUGUUUUUUUAUAAUAAAACAUAGGUGAUUUCACCUUAA